AACGAACGCUGGCGGCAUGCCUAACACAUGCAAGUCGAACGAUGCCUUCGGGCAUAGUGGCGAACGGGUGCGUAACGCGUGGGAAUCUGCCCUUGGCUUCGGAAUAACAGUUAGAAAUGACUGCUAAUACCGGAUGAUGUCCCCCUGAGAGAACUUGGGGACCAAAGAUUUAUCGGCCAGGGAUGAGCCCGCGUAGGAUUAGGUAGUUGGUGGGGUAAAGGCCUACCAAGCCGACGAUCCUUAGCUGGUCUGAGAGGAUGAUCAGCCACACUGGGACUGAGACACGGCCCAGACUCCUACGGGAGGCAGCAGUGGGGAAUAUUGGACAAUGGGGGGAACCCUGAUCCAGCAAUGCCGCGUGAGUGAUGAAGGCCUUAGGGUUGUAAAGCUCUUUUACCAGGGAUGAUAAUGACAGUACCUGGAGAAUAAGCUCCGGCUAACUCCGUG
rnacentral:rRNA from 1 species